UUCCAUCCUGGCACCCUGCUCAUUUCUCUCUUAUAACUGGCAAGCACUUACUCAGGUGCAGCCAAUCUUUAUAAUUAACCUUCACAACUUGUAAGCACAUCUAAGAGAAGGAGUAUCUUUGGCAAACAGCAAAGACUCCUGUUGAAACUUAAAAACUAACAAAUGUAUUUCAACAUAAGUUAAUGGGUUAGAAUUGACUUCAUUGGAUGUAUGAUGUUGGUUGACAGGUAUGUAUACACAUACCUGGGGAAAGAGAAAGAGAACACCGUGAACAGUGGAGUGAAAGAGCUAUGGAUGGAAGAGUUUGUCUAGUUUGUCAUCGGAAGUCCCAUAAUAUUUUUGAAUCUUCAUUUUCUACAACUUUUUCAAUCUUAUGGUCCUGCCAAUUUUUGGCCACAGGAGGAAGCCAUCUAAAAGUUCAGUCUCCAAGCUGUCAGGUUCAGCAUCUGGAUACUGUAAUAGAAGAUCUGAGCAGCUCCCUGAGCUAACACAUAAUGGACCUAUGUCACCUGAAUAAAUUUAUGAAAACAAGAAAAUUCAGAAUGCUAUCCUUGCAGGAUAUCCUUUUGAGGAGGUUGAGACUGGGGACUGAAGGUCUUUUAAAAGGAGGUUCUCCAGUAGGGAAGACGGGUUGAGCCCAGUCCUUGGUGGAAUUUUUCGAGAUUGCCCUUUAGUUUCUUUGACUUCCAGAGUCUGUACUCUUCAAAAUCCUAAGGGAGGUCCAGGAGAUGGCAGAUAGUAUGAAUCUCUGAAACCUCUUGGGUAGCCAGGGUCCAAUGUGCCCAGAGAGCUCCAGUAGUCUAUAGGGUGCAUUAUGGUUGAAUAAUGUGGAGCGGAGUGGUGGAACCUUUCCCUCUAGCAAUAGGUUGGUGUGUAAGAUGGAGAGGGCAUGGACAGGCAAGGCUUCGGACUCCUAAUCUUAAUCCCGUUCAUGCAUGGAAAAUCCCCUAAAGGUGGAUCCUGAGUUGGUAGAGAGCGUAGAUCCCUUUAGCAAUCCCAAACGUUUUUGGAGUCAAGUUGUUUGGUAUUGUUACCUUUGGGGAAGUUUCCUUCAAAGAGAGACAUCUGCUUGAAUCAGGCCUGUUGUCAUGGCCUGAAUUAGUGAGUUAUCUGGUAACACAUCCACCACUAUAGGGGAGGUGCUAUAGAGGUGCCAGUCACAUUUUUCUGAGGGCUCACUUGGUGAGCCUUGUUUGCUGGCAUCAGGAUCAGUAUUGGGUCAGAUCAGAUGGGGUGUCAAUGGCAUCGGUAGUACAACCAAUGCACAGUGGUUGUGAAAGUCACGGUGGCCGAUCUUGAUGGCAUCAGCAUCAAGGCUGAUGUUUCAAAUGAUCCCGUAGCAUCCAAAGAGGUCUGAAAGCUCUCCAGCUCUUUUUGGACCGUUGUCGGAGAGAAUUAUGUGGGGAUCGCAUCGAGGUCAACAUCAUCUGUGUUGACAAUCCCGAUGGUCAUCAGCAUCAAAGUUCAAUAAACAAGUCAUGUUUGUCAGAGGAAGGGAGAGUUCCCCAGCAAGAAGUACGCUUCUUAAAAGUCUUUUAAAUGUCUAUUAGAACAAUAACUGAAACAAAAUCUAAAGAGCAAACUUAAAAGGUCAGUUGUCCGAAAAGACAGAGUAAAAUAGCCUUGUAU